GGUGGGGUGACUGAGUGGUUUAAAGUGCUUGCUUGGAGAGCAAGUGUAUCCGAAAGGGUACCGUGAGUUCGAAUCUCACCCCCACCG
rnacentral:tRNA from 1 species